GCAGUCGAACGGUAACAGGGAGCUUGCUCCGCUGACGAGUGGCGAACGGGUGAGUAAUAUAUCGGAACAUACCCUAGAGUGGGGGAUAACGUAGCGAAAGUUACGCUAAUACCGCAUACGAACUCAGGUUGAAAGUGGGGGAUCGCAAGACCUCAUGCUCAUGGAGUGGCCGAUAUCUGAUUAGCUAGUUGGUGAGGUAAAGGCUCACCAAGGCGACGAUCAGUAGCUGGUUUGAGAGAACGACCAGCCACACUGGAACUGAGACACGGUCCAGACUCCUACGGGAGGCAGCAGUGGGGAAUUUUGGACAAUGGGGGCAACCCUGAUCCAGCAAUGCCGCGUGAGUGAAGAAGGCCUUCGGGUUGUAAAGCUCUUUUGUCAGGGAAGAAACGGUUUUUUCUAAUACAGAGAACUAAUGACCGUACCUGAAGAAUAAGCACCGGCUAACUACGUGCCAGCAGCCGCGGUAAUACGUAGGGUGCAAGCGUUAAUCGGAAUUACUGGGCGUAAAGCGUGCGCAGGCGGUUAUAUAAGUCAGAUGUGAAAUCCCCGGGCUCAACCUGGGAACCGCAUUUGAGACUGUAUGGCUAGAGUGUGUCAGAGGGGGGUAGAAUUCCACGUGUAGCAGUGAAAUGCGUAGAUAUGUGGAGGAAUACCGAUGGCGAAGGCAGCCCCCUGGGAUAACACUGACGCUCAUGCACGAAAGCGUGGGGAGCAAACAGGA
rnacentral:rRNA from 1 species